rnacentral:rRNA from 1 species
UCGCAGGCUGCAACCCGCCUGCGUGAAGCCGGAAUUGCUAGUAAUCGCGGAUCAGCAUGCCGCGGUGAAUACGUUCCCGGGCCUUGUACACACCGCCCGUCACACCAUGAGAGCCGGGGGGACCCGAAGUCGGUAGUUUAACCGCAAGGAGGACGCCGCCGAAGGUAAAACUGGUGAUUGGGGUGAAGUCGUAACAAGGUAGC